rnacentral:rRNA from 1 species
AUUGAACGCUAGCGGGAUGCUUUACACAUGCAAGUCGAGCGAGUGGCGGGCGUGUGAGAUAUAUAUCGGAACGUGCCCAGUAGCGGGGGAUAACUACUCGAAAGAGUGGCUUAUACCGUAUCCUAUGGGAUCGGCCGAUAUCGGUUUAGCUAGUGGGGGGGGUAAAGGCUCACCAAGGCAACGAUCCGUAGCUGGUUUGAGAGGACGACCAGCCACACUGGGACUGAGACACGGCCCAGACUCCUACGGGAGGCAGCAGUGGGGAAUUUUGGACAAUGGGGGAAAGCCUGAUCCAGCCAUCCCGCGUGUAUGAGAAGGCCUUCGGGUUGUAAAGUACUUUUGGCAGAGAGGCGGUAUCUGCAGAAUAAGCACCGGCUAACUACGUGCCAGCAGCCGCGGUAAUUC